CAGCCGCCACGGGAAAACGGGGGGCGCUAGCGUUACCCGGAUUUACUGGGCGUAAAGGGCGUGUAGGCGGCCUGGGGCGUCCCAUGUGAAAGGCCACGGCUCAACCGUGGAGGAGCGUGGGAUACGCUCAGGCUAGAGGGUGGGAGAGGGUGGUGGAAUUCCCGGAGUAGCGGUGAAAUGUGCAGAUACCGGGAGGAACGCCGAUGGCGAAGGCAGCCACCUGGUCCACUUCUGACGCUGAGGCGCGAAAGCGUGGGGAGCAAACCGGAUUAGAGACCCCAGUAGUCCCUGUCUCUUAUAC
rnacentral:rRNA from 1 species